rnacentral:lncRNA from 1 species
AAGGUGUGCGGUUACACGGCAUUGCACAGUGUCAGCUAUCCAACAGCUGGCGCUGCUGUGGCCACGACUGUUGGCAUGGGGACCCAAUGUGACAUAUGGUGCAUUUUUCCAUCCCGCCUCCAGCUAACUGCUGCUUUGCGAGCUGGUGCACACUUGGUCACAGAAUUGUAACGCGUCGGUGCGCUCUGUAUUACUCGGUAUGGUAUUACUCGGUAGCGCCAGCAAAGCCUUGGUAGGCGAUCUUAAUCCUUCAAACCGCUUGUCAUUUUAUUUAUUCCGACCCUGCUUCCGUUGCCGCUGUUGGUCCUGUCGCGAAACUGGGCGCACGCUCAUGGAACUUAGGGGUGGGUGGACCGUGACGACGACUACGUGCCUUCCUACCGGGACAUUGUUGGUGGCGAUGGCGACGAUGAAGGCGUCGCAGGAGACGAGGACGUUGAUGAUGAAGCGGACGAGAGAUAUUUGCGCGAGGUGGACGCGUUUGAGGCCAAGUACAACUUCAGGCAGGUGGUGGCUUUAAGGCACGGACUUGCUGGCUUGCACGCAAAUGGGUUUGGUUCGAAGGCCUUGCAUUCACAUUAGCUAAUCCAUGAUGACUGUUGUUGCUAGGCCUGUCCGCUGUAUACGCUUGGGUGCUAUCAGCGUGCGUGCUGCUUUUAUACUACUUAUCGUUGUGCUCCUUACGGGAGCUCAUUUAUGUGUUGCUGUUCCUUCCCAGUCUGAGUGUCUGUUGGUAUGGUUCGGCCUUGGAUGUCUACACCAGCUGCUGCCAUUUGAGACCACGCGGUAA